CGAGAAUGAAAAUCGCUUUACGGAAGAGUGUGCAGAUAUGAACACGAGCGCAGCAUUGUCGACAGUUUUGUCGUUGCUUGUUUUACUACCGUCAUCGUCUGCACAAAUUAAUAAUUAUUUAUGGUUCAAUAAUGGACAAAUCAAUAUUGGCCAAUUUGGAGCAGGCAGUAAUCCGGCAUUUACGAUCCCAUCAUCUUUGAAUUUGAAAUCCGAGAACAUGGAACCUAUGAUUCCGGCAUCUACAAUUGUGAAUAAGCCUUCAGUGGACAAUACAAAUUGGAUUAUCAAACUGGGAAAAAACAUUAAUUGUCUUAAUGGAGACUCUAAGGAGAAUUAUCCUAAUUGGUGCUUUCUUAACAGGGAUAACCCUAACGGAUACUUUCCUAGCAAUGGAUACUCUAGUAGCAAUUACCCUGACGGGGCCAGUGCUAUUGAAAAGCCUCUUAACAUAUUCAACAUCUAUUUCAACAUAAUGUCCCCAAAUGGAGGCUAUCCUGAUGAGAAUUAUCCUAACAAGGCUAAUGAUAAUGAGAAGCAUCUUAACGGACAAAAUCUCACCAUUGCCACUCUUAACGUAGUCCCUCACAAGGAAGCCUCUUCUAACAAAGGUUAUCCUAACGGGACUAAUAAUAAUGGAGGGUACCUUAACGGACAAAAUCUCAACACUGUCUCCCUUAAUGUAGUCCCCCAGAAUGGAAGCAAUCCUAACGGAUUUAAUAAUAACAGCGAGAAUCUUAACAAACGAAAUCUCAAUAUCAUCUUUCCUAACGUGGUCUCCCAUAAUGGAAGCAAUUCUAUGGAAUGGAAUUCUAACGGAAGUUAUUCCAGCGAUGUACAUCCCAUCGAGAUCUCUCCUAAUAGAAGCAGUCCCCAUCCUGAAAUAUCGAGUUUGAAUAAUUUAAAUAACGGGAUUGGACAAAAUUUAUCAAUAGAUGCUAGCGACGUAAAUGAUGGUAUACCAGGAAUAAACAAAACGCAGCAGGAUCGUGGACAGUGCAGAGACGAUGAGUUCCGCUGUGGAAGUAACGAGUGCGUACCGUCUAAUGUCAAAUGCGAUAAUAAAGCUGAUUGUAGCGACUCCAGCGAUGAGGCAUUCUGUAUUACGGAAGGAGAUCAAGAAAAUGGUUGCGCAUUACCUGAGCAGCCGACAGGUGGACGUUAUAAAUUGGGAGAAUGCGACGAGCUAUGCCGCAAACAGCCUGGCGAUAUAGUUCCGCAACACAGUAUUCUCACUUAUACUUGUAAUGACGAUUACGCGUUGGAGAGUAGCAAUAUUACUAUUUGUGUCAACAACAUAUGGAAACAUCAGAUCUCCUGUCUCAAAAUUUGCCCGCCGUUGAACAGUACCAACGUCUACAUUUCCUGCAAUUAUCGAGGGGAAGAGGUGUCUUGUAGUGAACCUAUACUGCCUGGGACACAAGCCACGUUGACCUGUAAACCAUUUUAUAGAUUUUCUGUAACCACUCUGAGUAACUCGUGGAUGAAGUGUCUCGACAGUGGAAUAUGGGAUAUCAACAUGUUUGACUGUGUACCAGUGUGUGGCGUAAUCAUCUCGCAAACCACACUACAACCAUUGUCAAUUGGCAACGGCUUUAGGCCCGCAGUGGGCUCGUUUCCCUGGCACGUUGGUAUCUACGUAAAAGAUGGCGCCAAGACGUACAAGAAUAUUUGCGGUGGCAGUCUGAUAACUAAGAAUCUCGUCAUCUCAGCUGCACAUUGUUUCUACGAUGAGAUUGAAAAUAAACUUUACAACGCGUCGAAUUACGCUGUGGCUGCCGGUAAAUACUAUCGUUCUUGGGAUGCCCCGGAGCGGUACAGCCAGAAGUCGAUGGUGGAGUAUGUAAAAUUGCCCUCCGACUACUUUGGAACAAGUGGUAACCUUGCCGAGGAUAUAGCUUUGGUGAAACUACAAACGUCUUUCGUUUUUAACAUGUAUGUGGUACCCAUCUGUGUGGAUUGGCGAAACAAACAUGACCAUCAGCAGUUGCGAGAGGGACAAUCAGCUGGCCGGCUGGGGUAAAGAUACUACUGGUAAGCCCACAGAGGAUUUAUUCGCAGUUAAUAUGCCGUACGUGGAGCGACAGACAUGUCGGGAUAACGUGCCUGUAGAAUUUCGCGGAUUCCUCACGUUUGAUAAGUUCUGCGCCGGCCUUAUGAAUGGUUCAAGCGCUUGCGAUGGAGACAGCGGCGGCGGCUUAUGUUUUGAGAGAUAUGGUACUUGGUAUCUUCGUGGUGUCGUCAGCGUGUCUCCCCAGGAGGAUAACCAUUGCGAUUUAUACUCUUAUGUUGCAUUUACUCGGGUAAAUGCCUAUGUUGAAUGGCUUAUUACGUCAAUCC
rnacentral:misc_RNA from 1 species